GGCGCCUUCCCCGCACGUUCCCGCCCUCCCGCCAAAACCGCCGGGCGGGGCGCGCGGGCUCCUGGCGGGAGCAGCGACCCGCCCUUCCCCUGCCGGAUGGAAAAACCAAACGAACGUGGAGCGGGGUUGGCUGGGGGGGGGGGGGGGGUUCGGUUUGACACGGCGCAGCCUUUGUUUUUCCAGGGUGCCACACGCACGUCUUCCUGAACGGGGCGAGCGGCGGGUUUCCUGUCGGGCGGCCAAAGCCUGCCGGAGGGCCUCUGUUUGCAAAAGCUGGAAGAUAAACGGCUUGCCUGAAGCCACAGGACAAGAAGAUGAGGCCGAGUCACACACAGCAGAAUGCACACGCCGAGAGGGAUCCUUCUGGUGCUGCUGAACGCCUCUGCGGCAGCCGGUGCCUCUGUAAACAACCGUCCCUCCGUUAUCCUUCUGGCUCUGCUGCUGACCAGUGCACCUCCAGCUGCAUCUCAGCCGCUGGCAGUAAGACACACCACUGCCAUCUGCAUUUCUUCUCACUUGAGAUCUUAUCCCAAUGCCAUAAAAAUACUAAGUAUCCAGCUGGUUUUUUUCAUCCUCACCAACCAUUUUAAUCCAUGGUUGCAGUAGGGGUGUCUUGUUGGUUGGUUGGUUUUGUUUUCAUACACGUUUAGGUAAAGCUAGUGCCUUCUCUGAUCAUUCAAGGUGGCAGUUCGCUUGUUCUUAACCAGGACAGAAUAAACCGAUAUUUGGCUUUCCAGAAUAAAAUCCAUAAAGAUUCA